UAUCUGGUUGAUCCUGCCAGUAGUCAUAUGCUUGUCUCAAAGACUAAGCCAUGCAUGUCUAAGUUUAAGCGAUUUAAACGGUGAGACUGCGGACGGCUCAUUAUAUCAGUUAUAGUUUAUUUGAUGGUCGAUUACUACAAGGAUAACCGUAGGAAUUCUAGAGCUAAUACUUGCACUUCAAACUGAUUUUUCAGUUGCACUUAUUAGAUUUACCACCAAUGCUCUUCGGAGCUUCGGUGAUUCAUAGUAAUUUAGCAGAUCGCUACGGCUUCGGCCGCGACGCUUCAUUCAAAUUUCUGCCCUAUCAGCUUUCGAUGGUAGUGUAUUGGACUACCAUGGCUUUGACGGGUAACGGAGAAUUAGGGUUCGAUUCCGGAGAGGGAGCCUGAGAAACGGCUACCACAUCUAAGGAAGGCAGCAGGCGCGCAAAUUACCCAAUCCCAACGCGGGGAGGUAGUGACAAGAAAUAACAACAACUAACCUAUUUCAGGUGAGUUGAUUGGAAUGAGUACAAUCUAAACCCUUAACGACUAUCCAUUGGAGGGCAAGCCUGGUGCCAGCAGCCCGCGGUAAUUCCAGCUCCAAUAGCGUAUCUAAUGGUGUGGAGUUAAAAAGCUCGUAGUCGGAUUUCAGUAAGCUCAGUUAGUCUCUUCUAUUGAGUCUUUAUGGCCUGC
rnacentral:rRNA from 1 species